UACGGGGGGGUGCGAGCGUUGUCCGGAAUCACUGGGCGUAAAGGGCGCGUAGGUGGUCUGAUAAGGGUGUGGUGAAAGCCCGGGGCUCAACCCCGGGUCGGCCGUGCCGACUGUUGGACUAGAGUGCUGUAGGGGCAGGCGGAAUUCCGGGUGUAGCGGUGGAAUGCGUAGAGAGUCCGGAGGAAGACCGGUGGCGAAGGCGGGUCUCUGGGGCCGAUACUGACGCUGAGGAGCGAAAGCGUGGGGAGCGAACAGG
rnacentral:rRNA from 1 species